rnacentral:lncRNA from 1 species
UGGGAACCUCCAUAUGCCACGGGAGCAGCUCUAGAAAAGGCAAAAAAAAAAAAAAAAAAAAAGAAAAAAAAGACAUGUCUAAGCAGAAAAUAAGUAUUUCACUAAACUGUCGACAAGGCAUUCUGCAGGGAGGCUGAGGGAUGCGAAGAGGCGCCCCUCCUGGUGAAGGAGGGAGGACGGGACCCAGGGCUGGGGGGCACGGAGCAGGAAGUGCCCUCCAGGGGUGAGGGGGUAGCCUCGAGCUCAGAUCUGGGGUCAGCAGGGGCCCCAAGGCUGUAAGGUCCGUCUCCACCUGCGAUCUGGGCCGGGGUCCUGGGAUGGUGGGGAACUAACAGGACUAAGCAGAGCCAGGAAGGCCGAGAAGCCCCCACCCCCAAAAUGCAGGCGGGAGGCGGACUGGGUGGUGGUUGAGGAAAGACAUGACCCUGGAAAUGUGCCGGGGAAUGGGCUCUGGGAACCCCCUGGGCUCUGGCAGCCUGGUCAGGCCAAGCUAUCUCAGCCUGGGGCAGGCCAAGCUAUCUCGGCCAGGCCGCUGGGGGAGGAGGAGGCACGGGAACCACAGACGGGGUCGCAGGGAUCCUGGGAGAAGGGGGCCUGGCAGAGGGUUUGAAGCAGGGCCAGCGGCAGAGAGAGGAUGGGGUCCUGGAGCUGCGGGGAUGCAGGUGCGUGAGGGUGGGAGCCAGUGGGCGAGACGAAAUGACAGGAAGAGCUGGGUUCACGACGAGCAGGAGGAGAGCUGACUUUUACGUGCGGAGGUUGGAGGCCUUGGGGUGCCGAGGGGGAGCCCAGGGAGAAGGACCCCGCGGAGCCGUGGGAGGAGCUGGGUGUCGGGCCUCUUGGGGGGUGCGGGGGAGCUUCUGGACUUUCUUGAAGGAGGACUGACUUUGGUGACUUCGGGUGGGGGCCUUUUCGUCUCCCCAUCCUGUCGGAGCAGAACCUUGAACGGCAUGGAGAUUCGGCUGGGGCGGCAGGAGGCCCAUCUGCUCCGGGGUUUGCAGUGCUGGCAGCGCGCAGGGCGCACGGAGGUGUGAGCGUCCGGCCCCCUGGGGCGGCCGAGGCUGGGAGACAAAUGCUGGGGUGUUGCCUCUUCAAAGUGUGGUUGAGUCCAGAUGGCUGCCUGACAUCUGGCCAGGUGGCUGUGUUGUGACACGUCCUGGGGGCCCCACCCCCUUCCUCCCACCCCGCCCUGGGGCCCCGAGGCACCCCCCAACUCCGUGCCAAGGCCUAUGCCAGGGCCGGGGAGCUCAUGCAGGCUGCCAGCAUCUGAGGGCGGAUCUGCAGGCCCGAGUCUUUGUCCUGGGAGGGCCCCCCCCAGGAGCCCGCCGGGUCACCACCUGAUCUACAUGGUUGUCACCGCAGAGGUUUCCCAGAGUCCUUCAGGGCAGGUGUGCUGUGACCUCAGUGGUCCAGGCCCACAAAGCUCAGUCUGAGGCCACCGGGCUGCUGCCUGCGGGUCUGGAAGGAAACGCUCAGCUGUCUCCCCACCUCCCCCACCUCUACUCCAACAUUCCUGAUGGUAGGUCUGCUCCCUGAGGCUGCUGGGUGAGCCAGCUGCUCCCUGAGGGCGCCUCCCAGGCUCACCUGCCCUAUUGUGAUCUCAGGUCCAGGUGGUGCCCGUGAAAGCAGGUGGGGGAUGUGUCAGUCCCUGCUGUUCCUCCAGGUCCAGGGCACUGAGGCCCCAAGGCCCCAGCAGACCUCAGGCGGGGGCUGGUGGUGCUCAGCCCAGGGCCAGGCUGGCUUCCAAGGCUGUGGGUGUGUUUCUACCCCAGAGAGGGGGCGGAGCACAGACCCCAAAGGGAAGGACAAGGGCAGAGGCUGCUGCAGGUGACAGAAGGACCCUCAGGAUGAAGGUGCAUGAGAUGGGGCCAGAACCCCAGGGGACAGCAUGGUCACCUGUGACCAAGGUGGCCAUACAGGAGGCUCCUGUCUGCACCUACACCUUACACGAGUCACCUGACUUUAAAUACAUCGUUGCAGCUGAUCUGGGGACAGACUACACCACACAGUACUCAUUGGAGGCUUGAGCUGGAUUUCACACAGGUGUUGACUCCAUCCCUAGAGCCUGCCCUGAUCUGGACUUGGAGUUAAGCCUGCCAUCCACCUGAGGCUGGAGGAAUCCCAGGGGACACAGCUGAGUGUGGCAGACUGUGGGCCAUCAGCCCUGCAGGAUUUGGAGCUUCAGCCUCCGCGGAAUCCACACAGAGUUCCCACUUCCACUAGGUUUGAUCGACAGCUCUGACCUCUUUCCUGGCUGGCCACUUACUGGUUCUGGCUGCCAAUCUUGUAGGUUUCCUACUAUGAUAAGGUUGAGAGUCUAUUUGCAUUUUUUCACUGGGCUAUCUAGCUAAAGGUUUUGCCCAUUAUUCUUUGGGUUGCUGAUUUUUGUCUUUCUUAUUGAUUUCUGGAAGCUCUUUAUAUACAAAGGAUAUGGCUUGGUUUUUUUUGUUUGUUUGUUUGUUUUGUUUUUGGCUGUGCCUUGGCAUGUGGAAAAUCCCAAGCCAGGGAUCAAACCUGCACCAUAGCUGUAGCCAGAGCCCUAGCAAUGACAGUACUGGAUCCACAACCCACUGAGCCACAGGAAACUCCACUAAGGAUAUAGCUUGUGAUAGGAGAUGAGUAUAUGUAUAUUUCUCAUUGUCUAUAUUUACUGCUUAAUUUGCUGAUGGUAGUUUUUAUAGAAGUUUUUAUUGUUGUGUAGUUGAGUUUUGUGAAUCCUUUUACUGCAUUUGGAUUUUCAGUUUUAAUUAGAAGAGUCUUUCCUUGACUGCAAAAUUCUAAAGGCAUUUGCCCAUGAUUUGUUAGUGCUUUUAUGGUUUUAUGUUUAACAUUUAAAUAUUUGACUCCUUUGGAGUUAAUUUUAUUACACAGUGUGAGAUAUGGGCGUGGCUUUUAUCUUUUGUUUAAUUUGUUGGAUAGCUGCUCUCUUGUCCUAAAGCCAUUUUUCACACAGUCAUUUUUUCACUACUGAUUUGAGAUGUCACCUUUGUUGUAUACUCACUGACCUUGAUUUUUGUGCCCGUCAGAAUGUCUGUGUUUCUCGGCUGCUCUGUGUGUCUGUUCAUGAGCCAGCACAGCAGUGGUCUCAUGAUUAACACUGGAUUUUCCUACUUGUUCUAGCUUCUUUUUCUGUUUGCACUUUAGAACCAAAUUGUCUAGUCUUCUUCCCACAACAAGACAUUCUAAUCAAAUAUCCAGAAAAACCUCAACCCAUCCUUAUUUCGGUUGAGGUGGCAUGGGUUUACAAAUCGGCGGGGGAGGCUGCUCUUCUGCGCUGCUGCAGCUUCCUGGUGAAAAACAUGGCAAGCCUUCCAUGUGGGCAAGUUCUCUUUCUUAUAUGAUGUUUCAGGGCAUUUAAAAUUUUUUCUUGUAUGGAUCUUAAUUUCUUAGGUUUAUUCCUAGAAACAUUAUCUUUGUCUUUUGGAUAAUUAAGUGGGGGGUAAUUUCUUCCAUUUUAUCUUUUAAAGCAAUUAGUUUUCUCUUUUAAUUUUAUACCCUGGCAUCUCACUAAAUUUUCUUAUUACUUAUAGAAGGUUUUCACUUCAUAUUGUCUUUGGGCUGAGCUGGAUAUAUUUGGCCACGUUAAGAAAAUGUUUAUGGAGUUCGCAUUGUGGCACAGCAGAAAUGAAUCCGACUAGGAACCAUGAGGUUGCGGGUUCGAUCCCUGCCUUUGAUCAGUGGGUUAAGGAUACGGAGUUGAUGUGAGCUGUGGUGGAGGUCGCAGAUGUGGCUCGGAUCUGGCACGGCUGGGGCUCUGGUGCAGGCCGGCAGCUAUAGCUCUGAUUCGACCCCUAGCCUGGGAACCUCCGUAUGCCUCAGGUGUGGCCCUAAAAAGACAAAA